GACGAACGCUGGCGGCGUGCUUAACACAUGCAAGUCGAACGGAAAGGCCCUGCUUUUGUGGGGUGCUCGAGUGGCGAACGGGUGAGUAACACGUGAGUAACCUGCCCCUGACUUUGGGAUAACUUCAGGAAACUGGGGCUAUUACCGGAUAGGAGCUCCUGCUGCAUGGUGGGGGUUGGAAAGUUUCGGCGGUUGGGGAUGGACGCGCGGCUUAUCAGCUUGUUGGUGGGGUAGUGGCUUACUAAGGCUUUGACGGGUAGCCGGCCUGAGAGGGUGACCGGCCACAUUGGGACUGAGAUACGGCCCAGACUCCUACGGGAGGCAGCAGUGGGGAAUAUUGCACAAUGGGCGGAAGCCUGAUGCAGCAACGCCGCGUGCGGGAUGACGGCCUUCGGGUUGUAAACCGCUUUCGCCUGUGACGAAGCGUGAGUGACGGUAAUGGGUAAAGAAGCACCGGCUAACUACGUG
rnacentral:rRNA from 1 species